rnacentral:rRNA from 1 species
GACGAACGCUGGCGGCGUGCUUAACACAUGCAAGUCGAACGGAAAGGCCCUGCUUUUGUGGGGUGCUCGAGUGGCGAACGGGUGAGUAACACGUGAGUAACCUGCCCUUGACUUUGGGAUAACUUCAGGAAACUGGGGCUAAUACCGGAUAGGAGCUCCUGCUGCAUGGUGGGGGUUGGAAAGUUUCGGCGGUUGGGGAUGGACUCGCGGCUUAUCAGCUUGUUGGUGGGGUAGUGGCUUACCAAGGCUUUGACGGGUAGCCGGCCUGAGAGGGUGACCGGCCACAUUGGGCCUGAGAUACGGCCCAGACUCCUACGGGAGGCAGCAGUGGGGAAUAUUGCACAAUGGGCGGAAGCCUGAUGCAGCACCGCCGCGUGCGGGAUGACGGCCUUCGGGUUGUAAACCGCUUUCGCCUGUGACGAAGCGUGAGUGACGGUAAUGGGUAAAGAAGCACCGGCUAACUACGUG